UCAAACUUGGUCAUUUAGAGGAAGUAAAAGUCGUAACAAGGUUUCCGUAGGUGAACCUGCGGAAGGAUCAUUACAGUGGAUUGGUUGUAGGGGUGGGAGGCGAGUAUGCGUGGGUGCGAAGCACACGGUGUGAAAGCCUGGUGCGAAGCACUCACGCACUAUCCUCCUACAGCUACGAUCACAUAUGCACAGAGUCGCAAGGCUCUGAUGUUCACGCUUGUGUGUUUGCCAGAGUCAUGGUGACGACGAAAAAAGACAACUUUUAACAAUGGAUCUCUUGGCUCUUGCAUCGAUGAAGAACGCAGC
rnacentral:misc_RNA from 1 species